rnacentral:lncRNA from 1 species
CGCAAGUAGUUGUGCUGACGCCCAAAGCUGUCAGUCAAAAAAGCAGAGAAGGGAGCAGCAUGUUCCAGCAGGAAACGUGCUCUUCCUGAGCUUUGCAGUUCCUGAACCUGAGCCGCGCCGGUGGGAGCCCGCACUGGCGCCCCGGUGCUGCACGCCCGGCCCUGCGCCGCCCCGAGCGCCCCCCGCAGGAGCGCGGGACCUCCGCGCCGCCCCCACGCCGCCGCCAUGCGGCCCGCGGCACUCGGGGGGGGACCGGCACGGCCGCCCCGACACCGCCUGCUGUCACGUGGGGAGGUGCGGCGGCCAAUCAGAGCAGCCGCAGAAGCGGCGCUGCAGGC